rnacentral:rRNA from 1 species
GAGUUUGAUCAUGGCUCAGAUUGAACGCUGGCGGCAUGCCUUACACAUGCAAGUCGAACGGCAGCACGGGAGCUUGCUCCUGGUGGCGAGUGGCGAACGGGUGAGUAAUGCAUCGGAACGUAUCCUGGAGUGGGGGAUAACGUAGCGAAAGUUACGCUAAUACCGCAUAUUCUGUGAGCAGGAAAGCGGGGGACCUUCGGGCCUCGCGCUCUUGGAGCGGCCGAUGUCGGAUUAGCUAGUUGGUGAGGUAAAGGCUCACCAAGGCGACGAUCCGUAGCAGGUCUGAGAGGAUGAUCUGCCACACUGGAACUGAGACACGGUCCAGACUCCUACGGGAGGCAGCAGUGGGGAAUUUUGGACAAUGGGGGCAACCCUGAUCCAGCCAUGCCGCGUGAGUGAAGAAGGCCUGGUG